UGGUCUAAUCAGCUGGUUGGUGAGUCACGGCUCUACCAAGCGUCCCUGUAAUCCAGACCGUUAGAGCAGAUAGCUACCUACAGUAUGUCUUAAACAUUGACUCCCACCCUUUGCACCGUGAUUUUCAGCAUCUUCCCUCUGGACGGAGGUUUUUCAGUCCCAAGGGGCAGAACAAAGCCGAACAAAAAUAACUAUCUUUCUGCUGCUAUCACUGAACUGAAAAAGCUGUAGCCAUAUUUGCAAAUAUCCUGGCUUAAUUUUGUGAUUAAUUUUAUUGUUUUUUUCAUUCAUUGGUGGAACCUUGAGCACUUUUCUACAAUUCUACAAUUCACAUAGCAGACACUUUUAUCCAAAGCGACUUUUAUCAUUGUUAUAAUUUAUUCAUUUUUUAAAAUAAUGUUUCCGUAGGUUAUAAAUAGAUUGAUCCUUCUCGAAUGUGUUUUAUCUUCUUACAUCUGUUUUGUCAUUUCUCUCAUAGCUCGCUAGGUGUACAAAUACAGUAACCUGCACCUGAACAAUGUGUUAUUUCUUUAAAUCUCAUAAAACAGGCGGGUGGAGACUAAUAGAAGGCUGUUUGAAAAAGCAGCACACACUUUGAAGGAAACGUCCCUCCUCUGAACAUCUUCACCUCUCUGCUCCAGAGGACCUGACAAGAAUACUUUCUGCCUAUUCUGAAACACAAAGAUGGCUGUAGCUCUCACUCUCCUUCUUGUUGGCUGUCUGCUCCCAGGUGCCCUGUGUGGACAGUUUGAGAGCAUUAUACCAAAGACUA